AUGGAAACGACAUUGGGAUCGUCGCCACACAAUGAGGCUGUCUCACAUUACGCUGCUCCAGGAUGGUCGGGGACGAAUAACAAUUGGAGAAGCAACCAGGACAGAACAGCAAGGAGCAGGACACACAAAACACCUCAUGCUCGAGCCCGUUGAGUAAAACAAGAUUCCAUCUUCAGAACACAAGGACAAGGGGUGUUAACUUCUCAUUAAAGAAGAUCCAAGUGAUACCUGCGCAUUUGAGUUCUUGAGUCCCAUCCUUAUGGAUCUGCAGCUGCAAGAAAUGUGCCUGUCCCCGAAGUUCGGUGUUCAGCUUUCGAAAGUAAAAUUGGAACCUCCUGAUGCUGCGCAUCUACAUGAACAGGAACAGAUACAGGAACAGUACUGCAGCGAGUCUCCUUCAAGAAGCGAUAG